AGCAGCCGCGGUAAUUCCAGCUCCAAUAGCGUAUAUUAAAGUUGUUGCAGUUAAAAAGCUCGUAGUUGAAUUUCGGGAUCAGCGUGUCGGUCGUGCCUCCGGUAUGCACUGGCGCCGCUGGUUUCUCCCUUCUGAGGAACCGUGAUGUCAUUAAUUUGGUGUUGCGGGAAAUCAGGACUGUUACUUUGAAAAAUUAGAGUGUUUAAAGCGGGCACGCGCUUGAAUACAUUAGCAUGGAAUAACGAAAUAGGACGUUCGAUCUUAUUUUGUUGGUUUCUAGGAUUGACGUAAUGAUUAAUAGGGAUAGUUGGGGGCAUUAGUAUUCAAUUGUCAGAGGUGAAAUUCUUGGAUUUAUUGAAGACUAACUACUGCGAAAGCAUUUGCCAAGGAUGUUUUCAUUAAUCAAGAACGAAAGUUAGGGGAUCGAAGACGAUCAGAUACCGUCGUAGUCUUAACCAUAAACUAUGCCGACUAGGGAUCGGAUGAUGUUAAUUUUAAUGACUCAUUCGGCGCCUUAAC
rnacentral:rRNA from 1 species